rnacentral:rRNA from 1 species
UUGACCUCGAAUCAGGUAGGAAUACCCGCUGAACUUAAGCAUAUCAAUAAGCGGAGGAAAAGAAACCAACCGGGAUUACCUCAGUAACGGCGAGUGAAGCGGUAACAGCUCAAAUUUGAAAUCUGGCUCUUCCGGAGUCCGAGUUGUAAUUUGUAGAAGAUGCUUUGGGUUGUGGGUUCGGCCUAAGUUCCUUGGAACAGGACGUCAUAGAGGGUGAGAAUCCCGUAUGUGGCCGAGGCCCGCGCCUAUGUAAAGCUCUUUCAACGAGUCGAGUUGUUUGGGAAUGCAGCUCAAAAUGGGUGGUAAAUUUCAUCUAAAGCUAAAUAUGGGCCAGAGACCGAUAGCGCACAAGUAGAGUGAUCGAAAGAUGAAAAGCACUUUGGAAAGAGAGUUAAACAGUACGUGAAAUUGUUGAAAGGGAAGCGCUUGCAACCAGACUUGGGCGCUGCCGAUCACCUUGAGUUUUCUCAAGUGCACUCGACAGCGCACAGGCCAGCAUCGGUUCGGGUGGCUGGAUAAAGGCCGUAGGAAUGUGGCUCUCUUCGGGGAGUGUUAUAGCCUACGGUGCCAUGCAGCCCAGCCGGACCGAGGACCGCGCCUUCGGGCUAGGAUGCUGGCGUAAUGGUUGUAAGCGACCCGUCUUGAAACACGGACCAAGGAGUCUAACAUCUAUGCGAGUGUUUGGGUGGUAAACCCAUACGCGGAAUGAAAGUGAACGUAGGUGAGAACCCCUUUGGGGCGCAUCAUCGACCGAUCCUGAUGUCUUCGGAUGGAUUUGAGUAAGAGCAUAGCUGUUGGGACC